UACCUGGUUGAUCCUGCCAGUAGUCAUAUGCUUGUCUCAAAGAUUAAGCCAUGCAAGUCUAAGUACGAGCUCUCGUACAGUGAAACUGCGAAUGGCUCAUUAAAUCAGUUAUGGUUCAUUUGAUCGUACAGUUUACUUGGAUAACUGUGGUAAUUCUAGAGCUAAUACAUGCGAGAAGCGCCGACCUCGCGGGAGGCGUGCAUUUAUCAGACCAAAAACCGGCCGCGUCUUCGGGCGCGUUCGCCUUGGUGACUCUGGAUAACUUUGCGGAUCGCACGGUCUAGCACCGGCGACGGAUCAUUCAAGUGUCUGCCCUAUCAACUUUCGUCGGUACGGUAUUUGCCUACCGAGGUUCUUACGGGUGACGUGGAAUCAGGGUUCGAUUCCGGAGAGGGAGCCUGAGAAACGGCUACCACAUCCAAGGAAGGCAGCAGGCGCGCAAAUUACCCAUUCCCGACGCGGGGAGGUAGUGACGAAAAAUAACAAUGCAGGACUCGUUCGAGGCCCUGUAAUUGGAAUGAGUACACUUUAAAAGCUUUAACGAGUAUCCAUUGGAGGGCAAGUCUGGUGCCAGCAGCCGCGGUAAUUCCAGCUCCAAAAGUAUAUAUUUAAGUUGUUGCGGUUAAAAAGCUCGUAGUUGGAUUUUGGGCGCAGGCGGCCGGUCCGUCGCAAGGCGUGUACUGGACGUCCUGGCCUUCCCUCCGGUUCUCCGCCGGUGCUCUUGACUGAGUGUCGGCGGCGGCCGGAACGUUUACUUUGAAAAAAUUAGAGUGUUCAAAGCAGGCUCUCGAGCCUGGAUAAUGGAACAUGGAAUAAUGGAAUAGCACCUCGUG
rnacentral:ncRNA from 1 species